UAGUCCACGCCCUAAACGAUGAAUACUAGAUGUUUGAUGCCAAGCGUACUGAGUGUCGUAGCUAACGCGAUAAGUAUUCCGCCUGGGAAGUACGGCCGCAAGGUUUAAAACUCAAAGGAAUUGACGGGGGGCCCGCACAAGCGGUGGAGCAUGUGGUUUAAUUCGAUGCAACGCGAAGAACCUUACCUGGGCUUGACAUGUCUGGAAUCCUGCAGAGAUGCGGGAGUGCCCUUCGGGGAAUCAGAACACAGGUGCUGCAUGGCUGUCGUCAGCUCGUGUCGUGAGAUGUUGGGUUAAGUCCCGCAACGAGCGCAACCCUUGUCCUUAGUUGCCAGCGGUUCGGCCGGGCACUCUAGGGAGACUGCCGGUGACAAACCGGAGGAAGGUGGGGAUGACGUCAAGUCCUCAUGGCCUUUAUGUCCAGGGCUACACACGUGCUACAAUGGCGCGUACAGAGGGAAGCCAAGCCGCGAGGUGGAGCAGACCCCAGAAAGCGCGUCGUAGUUCGGAUUGCAGUCUGCAACUCGACUGCAUGAAGUCGGAAUCGCUAGUAAUCGCGGAUCAGCAUGCCGCGGUG
rnacentral:rRNA from 1 species